rnacentral:rRNA from 1 species
UACGUAGGGCGCAAGCGUUGUCCGGAUUUAUUGGGCGUAAAGAGCUCGUAGGCGGUUCGGCAAGUCAGCUGUGAAAUCUCCACGCUCAACGUGGAGGGGUCAGCUGAUACUGCUGUGACUCGAGUCCGGUAGGGGAGUGUGGAAUUCCCGGUGUAGAAGUGAAAUUCGUAGAUAUCGGGAAGAACACCUGAGGCGAAGGCGGCUGUCUGGCGGUGUAUCGACGCUGAGGCGCGAAAGCGUGGGGAGCAAACAGG